rnacentral:rRNA from 1 species
UACGUAGGGUGCAAGCGUUAAUCGGAAUUACUGGGCGUAAAGCGUGCGCAGGCGGCUUUGCAAGACAGAUGUGAAAUCCCCGGGCUUAACCUGGGAACUGCAUUUGUGACUGCAUGGCUGGAGUGCGGCAGAGGGGGAUGGAAUUCCGCGUGUAGCAGUGAAAUGCGUAGAUAUGCGGAGGAACACCGAUGGCGAAGGCAGUCCCCUGGGCCAGUACUGACGCUCAUGCACGAAAGCGUGGGGAGCAAACAGG